AGCAGUCGCCGCGGUAAUACGUAGGUCCCGAGCGUUAUCCGGAUUUAUUGGGCGUAAAGCGAGCGCAGGCGGUUAGAUAAGUCUGAAGUUAAAGGCUGUGGCUUAACCAUAGUACGCUUUGGAAACUGUUUAACUUGAGUGCAAGAGGGGAGAGUGGAAUUCCAUGUGUAGCGGUGAAAUGCGUAGAUAUAUGGAGGAACGCCGGUGGCGAAAGCGGCCCUCUGGCUUGUAACUGACGCUGAGGCUCGAAAGCGUGGGGAGCAAACAGGAUUAGAUACCCCCGUAGUCCCUGUCUCUUAUACA
rnacentral:rRNA from 1 species